UACGUAGGGUGCGAGCGUUGUUCGGAAUUAUUGGGCGUAAAGGGCUCGUAGGCGGUUUGUCGCGUCGGGAGUGAAAACCUCGGGCUUAACUCGGGGCUUGCUUUCGAUACGGGCAGACUGGAGGUAUGCAGGGGAGAACGGAAUUCCUGGUGUAGCGGUGAAAUGCGCAGAUAUCAGGAGGAACACCGGUGGCGAAGGCGGUUCUCUGGGCAUGACCUGACGCUGAGGAGCGAAAGUGUGGGGAGCGAACAGG
rnacentral:rRNA from 1 species